rnacentral:rRNA from 1 species
CACGUAGGGGACGAGCGUUGUCCGGAUUCAUUGGGCGUAAAGCGCGCGUAGGCGGCUCGGAAAGUCGGGCGUGAAAUGCCGGGGCUCAACCCCGGGACUGCGUCCGAUACUGGUUGGCUUGAAUUCGGGAGAGGGAUGCGGAAUUCCAGGUGUAGCGGUGAAAUGCGUAGAUAUCUGGAGGAACACCGGUGGCGAAGGCGGCAUCCUGGACCGGUAUUGACGCUGAGGAGCGAAAGCCAGGGGAGCAAACGGG